CUGGAGCAGUUUUGUCCUUUCCCUUUGACAC
rnacentral:piRNA from 1 species